UACAGAGGGUGCGAGCGUUGUUCGGAAUUAUUGGGCGUAAAGGGUGCGUAGGCGGUUUGGUAAGUCUUAUGUGAAAUCUAUGGGCUCAACUCAUAGUCUGCAUGAGAAACUGCCGGGCUUGAGUAUGGGAGAGGUGAGUGGAAUUCCUGGUGUAGCGGUGAAAUGCGUAGAUAUCAGGAGGAACACCUGUGGCGAAAGCGGCUCACUGGACCAUAACUGACGCUGAUGCACGAAAGCUAGGGGAGUAAACAGG
rnacentral:rRNA from 1 species